rnacentral:rRNA from 1 species
GGGAUAGAAUUCCAGGAGUAGCGGUGAAAUGCGUAGAUAUCUGGAGGAAUACCAAAGGCGAAGGCAGUCCCCUGGUCCGAUACUGACACUGAGGUACGAAAGCGUGGGGAGCAAACAGGAUUAGAUACCCUGGUAGUCCACGCCCUAAACGAUGUCGAUUAGCCAUUGGAAGGACCCCUUUUCCUUUCAGUGACGUAGCUAACGCGUUAAAUCGACCGCCUGGGAAGUACGACCGCAAGGUUAAAACUCAAAGGAAAUGACGGGGACCUGAACAAGCGGUGAAUGAUGUGGAUUAAUUCGAUGCUACGCGAAGAACCUUACCUACCUUUGACAUGGCCAAAGUUCUACCGAGAGGCGGAAGUACUCGUAAGAGGAUUGGCGCACAGGUGCUGCAUGGUUGUCGUCAGUUCGUGUCGUGAGAUGUUGGGUUCAGUCCCGCAACGAACGCAACCCUUAUCUUUAAUUGCUCCUAUUUUAACAGGCACUUUAAAGAAACUGCCAAUGAUAAGUUGGAGGAAGGUGGGGAUCACGUCAAGUCCGCAUGGCCUUUAUAGGUAGGGCUUCACACGUCAUACAAUGGUUAGAACAAAGAGCUGCAAAUUCGUAAGAAGGAGCCAAUCUCACAAACCUAACCUCAGUUCGAAUUGCGGUCUGCAACUCGAGCGCAUGAAGCCGGAAUCGCUAGUAAUCGUGGAUCAGAAUGCCACGGUGAAUACGUUCUUAGGUCUU